AGCACAGUACAGCGGCCUCUUCUUUCAUCGCCGCUGCUUCUGCCUCUGGCUAGGCCUGCACACACACACACACACAUACAGACUCUCAAGUCACCCACACACAGCGGCCCCAUGCUGCAAUGCACGGCGCUGGUGCUCAAGUCGCAGCACAAGAAUGUGCUGCGCAAGGGCCGUCCGCACAUGCAAAAAUAUAAGGAGCUGAACCGCUGGCAGCGCGAGGCGCAGGGCAUCACGAAGUGGGAGCAGGGCCACUCUCACCGGCCUCAGCCCUACGUAGAGCGCUUUAAUCCGGAAGGUGCCGGCCUCACUCGCGGCACGUCGGCAUACGCGUGGAAGUGGUGGCACACACAGUACCCAUGGCUGCCCAAUGUGGCGCCCGCCGACUACGUACCGCCGAGCCCGCGGGGCAUUCGCCCCGCAGCCUGGGAUGACGAGUUUGCCGACGUCGUGCUGAGCAUGAGCGACGAGGAGAUUCAGAGCUAUCUCCUGGACAAGCUGACGGAAGUGAUCUUUGCCGAGACACAGCGCGACGGCUACGAGCUGCGCCGCCUAGACUUUGAGGGCAAACCGCUCACAGAGCUGCCAGAGCGGCGCAUCAUUGAGAACUUCGUUUUCGAGGAGGAGACACUGCGCGAGCGCGUGCUGGACCAGGUAGUCGAAGGCGUGUUUCGUCUCGUCCCCACCUCCGCCGACCGUCUGGAGCUGAAAAGCGUGGCCAACAUCAUCGACUUCGUCCUGACACACGUGACGGUGGCUCGCAAGCCGGUGCAGCUGGAGAUUCCUGAGGCAGCGCGAGCUGUGAUGCGGUCGCACCCGCUACAGCCUCAGCUGGGCUUUGUGCAUGCCCUGCCGACCGACAAUCGCGACGCCGUUGUGCAGGAAUGGGAGCGGAUGCACCACCUCGAUUGGCAGUUUGGAAAAGCCGUGUAUGAGCCGCGCAGCGUCGAGAACGAGCGUGGCAACUUGACGUGGCUUCGUGAAGUCCGCCACCACGAGGCACGGGAGGCGUUUCAGGCGGACGUGGACUCGGGCGAGGCUCGCCGGCGCCACAUGGAGAAAAUUAAGGCGGCCGCUCAAGUUCCACACACCGACACCGCUUCACCGUAGUUGACUGUUGGUGUUGUUCAGGGUGCCGGAUAGGGAUUGGGCGUGAAGCGUCGAAGAACAGGCUCGGCUUUUCGAGAUGACUGCUCUGUGCUCACCUGCUCUCUUUCCCCCUCUGUGUGUGGUCCUCUCUCUUGUACGGCUGCACUCGUUCUUUCUGGCAUGGUAGCGGCCGCAUGCGUUGAAGUCUCCACGUUGCGGGGGAGGGGGGCGCACUGAUGCUCUGUUUUUGCGGGGACCCUUCUGUCUGUCCUUUCCUAUGCUGCAGUACGAGUGUGAGGAGACCGGUCGGGCCCUUGUUGCGAAACGGUGCGCCGUGUGUAUAUCUGUGCCUUGUGUGUGCAUGUGUGUGUAUGUGUGACAAGAGACAGCGCCACGUGCAUGGCGUAUGCGCACGUGUGAGAGGCGUAAGGAAUCCACAUGUGCCGAAGAAAGAAAAAAAGCGAGCGAAGCGCUGUAGCGCGCCCCAGUCACGGCCAAGAGCAGGAGGAGAGCAGAAGGCGAGCGAAGCGCAUACGUGCAGGCGAAAACGGCUUCUUGGCCGCAGCAGGCUGCAUUGUCGGCACGCCUGGCCAGGCCUCUUUGUCUCCCAUUCUGGAUAUGGGAGACCCUUCUUCCGGCACGCUCAUCAAUAGCGAACUUCGCUCUUUCCUUCCGCGGACGUUUCCAGAGGUAGUGUGCAUGUGUGCAGGUGGGCGCGCAUGCCGCCCACAUGGAGAUGCUGCGCGUCGCAGCUGCUUCCCCUGCAGUCGCCAUGUCUUCCUUUGCCAUCUCCGUUCUCUUUGUAUGCUUCUCCGUGAUGACGAGUUGUACCUGGCGCCCACAUGCGCACCGCUGCACACCUUUUUCCUGCCUUUUGGUGCAACGAGCACACGGAG
rnacentral:misc_RNA from 1 species